CACAAGAGGUACCCAGGACACAGCUUUGCAGAGAGCCGGGGAGUCCCGCCUGGAGGAAAUGGUGCAGCUAUCACUCACUUACACAAGGAUGAAGGAUAGCCACUGAGCAAGCCUGUAAGGCUAUUGGUCUGCCCAUUCUGGUUUCUUCACCAAUGAGAAAACUGGGACCUGGGGAGUUUGCAGAAGCCAUCCAAGGGCACCUGCUUCUCACAGCACAGCAGCUUCCUGCAGCCCUCCCUCCUGUCUUGUUUCUCCCUUAAUUGAGAGGAGAGGCCAGAACCAGAUGCAGGCAGUUCCAACAGUAAUGAAUUGCUCUAAGGUGUGGAUCCAAGAACCGGUGACAAGGUCAGGAAAUUCCAUCCCGGGACACUGACCCAACUAAGAGACUGUGCAUGAUGGCUAAGUUCAGAGCUCUGAGGAGAUGGUAAAACUCAUUUGCAACGAAACAAGAUAUUUUCCAACUCUGCAGCCAGAAACCAUCCUCCUGGCUGUCUCACCAUCAGCGCCACCUCUCCGUGGGUCUGGAGUCUUGAGGAGCCAGGACUGGACUGGGAUGUAAGGUUGGGUCUUCCGAGCUGUAGAUGGGAGCAGGAAGAUGUAUCUCCAUUCACGAUCUCAGUACAAGGCUCAGCUAUCUCCCGGCAACUCGCCCAUCAUCUGUUUCUGAGUUCUUCUGACAUACAGGUUCUUUGGAGGCGGCAUCAAGAAAAUACAUUUGGACAAAUCCUUCAUCUCAAAUAUUUUCCCCUCAUGAAACCAAAGGCAUUGCUCCAAAGUCAUUUCCAUUAAUUAGACAUGCAUCUUGUAUGACUGAAGGAGAAUCUAGUCCACAAACUCUGGGUUAAUUUUCUCUUCUGACAUCUGUGUGUAGUGUUUCUCUGAGGAGCUGAAUUAUCUGCUCUCCAGUGCCUUCCUCUCGGUGUUUUUUGGCCAGGAGCAAGGAGACAGGCAGCUGCAUUCUGGGAGCAGCAAGCAAUUCUGAGAACUGGAGCUGCUUAGGUUCUUUCACUUCUGCUUCAAAGGAAUACGUUGAGUUUGCAGAGAAUGAAGGAGAGAAAGACUCCAAGUUCCAAGCAGGGUCUUGGGGUAGUCUCUGAGCAUCCCAAUGUACUUACUUCCUCCCCACAGCUUCCUCACUGGGCUCCCAGCCACCAGUAUUUGUCUCUUUAAUCCCCCAACACAGAGCUACUAGAUGGAUUUCUUUCUUUCUUUUUUGUUUCUUUCUUUCGAUCGAUUUCUCUUUCUUUCUUUCUUUCUCUUUCCUUCUUUCUUUUCUUUCCUUUUCUUUUCUUUCUUUCUUUUUCUUUCUUUUACAUCUUCCUUCCUUCCUUGCUUCCUUUCUCUCUCUUUUUCUUUCUUUUAUGGUUUUUUUUUUGUUGUUGUUGUUGUUGUUUUUAGACAGUCUUGCUCUGUCACCCAGGCUGGAGUGCAGUGGUGCAAUCUCGGCUCACUGAAGUCUCAACCUCCUAGGCUCAAACAGUCCUCCAACUUCAGCCUCCCAAGUAGCUGAGACUACAGAUCAGCAAUCUGGCUAAUUAAAAAAAAAUUUUUUUUAGAGAUGGGGUCUUACUAUGUUGCCCAGUCUGGUCUUGAACUCCUAGCCUCAAACAGUCAUCCUCCCUUAGCCUCCUAAAGUGCCGUGAUUAUAGGCGUGAGCCACCAUGCCCAGCUGGAUUUUUUCUUUUAACUGUAGUUUUAUCAUGUUCUUUUUGCUUAAAAUAAACUUUUCUGAAGUAAAUUCUGGACUCUGCAAGGUCUUUGUUCUAUUUGUUAUGGUGUUUGGGCAAGCCCUCUGUUUUCCUGUCCAGAGCAGGCCUGGGACCUUUGCCUUCGGUGGCUUUCCUGGGAUCCCCCACUACCCAGAAGAGCAGGGCUAUUGCCUCUGCUCGUCCCCAGAUCCCAACCCUCCAUGGGCCUGCCCUGGAUCCUUGCUGUUGGAGGGGAGGCACAACUUCACCUCUACCCUCAUAGGGAUUUUUGGCUGCACCUGC
rnacentral:lncRNA from 10 species